rnacentral:rRNA from 1 species
AUGCACUGUUAUCGAGUUGGAAGAUUUGCCAUCUGUUGGACUUUGAUUUCUACAUAUGUAGCCAUGCUGGCAUUCAGGGGACCAGCUGGCCUACUUCAUUAUCAUGUUCUAUGGGACGAGAUCAAAUUUACCACUGAUGAGUUGGAAACUCUUACAAACAACUUGUGCUACACGUAUGCUGGGUGCACCCGCCCUGUAUCGAUCCGUAAACUCCCCAUGCGAAAAGUGUUUCCUCUUUAG